UGUUUUUUUUUCGUUCUCGCUUCCUUUUUUUUCUCGACAGAGAUGGGCCUUUGGACGGCCCACAGGCGCGCACCGCCCCAGAUCGGAUAAGGGAGGGGCGACGGGACGGCUUCCGUCCCCAUCGACCAACUGCCCCCCAAUUCCGCAUUCCAAUCCAAACGGCGGCCGCCUCCCGGCCCUCCGGCGUCGUCGCCUCAACGACGAGGGACAGAGGGGCCCGGCUCGCCGUCCUCCUCUCCUGAAGGAGAAUUUACUCCCGCCGCUGCGCAAGCCAUCCUGUCGCUUGUCUCGACGAUGCGCCACCGCGUGCUGACGCCGACGCUCUGCGCCGUCGCGCCGUUCGACAUCCGUUGGCUGCUGCCGAAGCCGCGCCUCACCGACGCCAUGCGCUGUUCGACAUCCGUUGGCUGCUGCCGAAGCCGCGCCUCACCGACGCCAUGCGCCGUUCGACAUUCGUUGGCUGCUGCCGAAGCCGUGCCUUACCGGCCCCAAGCGGUCGUGGCCGAGGGCCACCGCGUGGGCAAGGAGCCGCUGCGCACACCAUGUACGUGGUGCCGCCAACGCCACUGAUGCGGGGAUGCAUGAUCUUCUUUGCCAUGGAUGGCCUGGUGCCUCGCUGCGUUCAGUGCCCAGAGCACCGUCUAGAGGCAUUUCCUCUCUCUGUGAUCUUGGGCGUGGCCUCAUAACCGUCGUCAACGCCGACGCCGAAGUUCACUGCUGAAGUCUGCAUCCCUGCGUCGCUUGGUCGCCAUUGUUUGAACGUGAAGAUCGUAGUAAUUGAUGCCUCCUAUUCUUCCAGCAAUUUUCUCUCCCAUGGAGUUCGCCGGACAUGAGACUGCCAGAGUUGCUGCCUCAAUUCUCGCCGGGGACGGCGAAGUUCCUCUGGCCUAUUCGCUCUCUGCGGAGAGACGUGCGUGAUAACGUGUUGUAAGUCAAAAGUGAAUGAACGGAUCAAAACCUCUUCUUUAUUCCA